GAGUUUGAUCUUGGCUCAGAUUGAACGCUGGCGGCAUGCCUUACACAUGCAAGUCGAACGGCAGCAUGAUCUAGCUUGCUAGAUUGAUGGCGAGUGGCGAACGGAUGAGUAAUACAUCGGAACGUGCCCUGUAGUGGGGGAUAACUAGUCGAAAGAUUGGCUAAUACCGCAUACGACCUGAGGGUGAAAGUGGGGGACCGCAAGGCCUCAUGCUAUAGGAGCGGCCGAUGUCUGAUUAGCUAGUUGGUGGGGUAAAGGCCCACCAAGGCGACGAUCAGUAGCUGGUCUGAGAGGACGAUCAGCCACACUGGGACUGAGACACGGCCCAGACUCCUACGGGAGGCAGCAGUGGGGAAUUUUGGACAAUGGGCGAAAGCCUGAUCCAGCAAUGCCGCGUGUGUGAAGAAGGCCUCGG
rnacentral:rRNA from 1 species